UGAUGCACUAGACCUUGCACAGGCAACCAUGGGAAAAGUGUACCAAAAUUUAUCUUGGGCGGUAGCCUACAACGUUGUUGCCAUUCCCAUUGCUGCUGGAGUUUUACUUCCCCAAUUUGAAUUUGCUAUGACACCUUCACUAUCAGGAGGGUUGAUGGCUUUGAGCUCCAUCUUCGUGGUUGGCAACUCGUUGCUUCUACAACUUCAUGGGUCUCAGACCUCCAAAAAGGCCACAUAAUAAAUCUAUUUCCAUCCAUUCAAACAUGGAUAUGUACAGUCUAAAAGAUGCAUAAGAGGCGGUGUGAUCUUUAUAAUGACAGUAUGAGUACAAAUUUGGCAUCCAUGAAAUAAUUAUAUCUCAGAAAUCCGAAUUGUAUUUGUGACCAACAAGCUCCUUUUUGUAAGUUAUGGCUAUCUAUUCAAUGUUAAAAGGUCAUGAAGCAUGGACUAAUAUCAUGACACACUAGCUGCACUUGGUGCAUUCAAAUAGGUCUUUGCUUAUAUACUUUGAUAUUUAAUGUAUACAAUUACCAAUUUGUAGUCAAUAUUUAUUUAUGUAAAGCUGUAGGAGCAAUAAGAGAUUAUCAAAGUUUGUAAGAGGGCCAUGGCUCUCUUUUUUGCUUUUCUUGGUUCAACCUUCUAUUAUGUAUCAUUGUAAAAGUAAAAAUAAACAGUUCUUUGUUCUGUUUUUUUUUUCAA